CAAAAGAGAAAAAAAAUCUCCAACCUGCUAAAUGGUACUUACUGAGAAAGAGGUUUCUCUUUUCCAGAGAGAAGGAGGCAUUGAACUUUUAAAUUCUACUUGCAGGGUUACAAUUUUAUAGGGGGAAAAAAAGGAUCAGAAAAAUCCCAUUUUUUACAAAAGUUAAUUUCUCUCAAAUUUGGACCAAUUGAGUUCUAUCACGUUGUGUUUCUCCUCAGAGAGAAUGCAAUGACUGGCAUAGGAAGACUCUGAGAACAAAUUUUUUGAUGGACAUUUUCUGUCACCCUUUACCAUCACAGCAUACAUUUUCCUGUCACAUAAUAUACGGUAAUUAUAUGGAUUUUCCUCUUUCCAAAUCAGAGGAAUGCUUCCUUACUUGAAUGGAGGGGCCACAGACUACUAGUCAACCUAAAAAUCCUGUUAGCAUUACAUCUCAGCAUAAAUAAAGAAUUUGGAUCAGUGCCUUGUUAGAUCACCGCUAUUUCUAGCUCGCUGAGUAAAAAGAGCAUUUUUUGCAGCCUAGUUUGAUAAGUAAAAGGUGUCUUUCUCACCUGCGUGCACUCUGAAUUGUCACUCUCAUUCUUUGUUCCUUUGCAUGCGGUUGUUGUCAGCUCCCGAGUCACAGAACCACUUGCAGGAACGGCUCAGGAGAGUUUCGGAAGAAAGGGAAGGGAAAAAAGGAGCCGCAUUUUUAUUUAACGGGAGAAGGAGAACAUAAAGAAAAGAAAGGUGUUCUCAAGAACGUAGCCUGCAGCCUUGUCAGGUGGUGGUACAUUCCAGACUACCCUCUGAUAUUGGUAACUGCUUGUCCCAGGAUUCAUGUCCCUAGAAGGAACAGCUGCAAGAAGAAAGCAAGAUGCACAGUUCCACAAUGGGAAAAGAAAUGUUUUCAAUAAAGGCUUUGGAAAAGUCAUCACACACUUGUGUUGGAGCAGAAAAUAAGCUCUUUCCAGAAUUCCUCCACCUCUGGCGUUUAAAGUAACCACUUGAUGCUGACAAUCCAGACAACUCCCAUAUCUUCUGCCUUGUACAGCACCAAAACCACCAGAACUAGUGCCUGACAAAGAAGACAACUGACUCCUCGCUAGUGAGGGAAAUGUUUCUCUUGCUUUAGUGUAUAAAGGAGGAAGGGAAUGUAGCAUGUAACUCCUUGGAGGGAAACACAGCAAUGGACGGUGUUAUCUGUGAGAAAUCCUGACUUCCCAAUUUCCAGUGUACUGUGAAUAUUCAGAGAAAACAUUUUAAUUUCUGCCUGUUAUCCUAAGUGAUUUUCACUGAUAUAACUUCUGCAUGUGAAAUGUCAUUGCAGCAGUAUUAAGUUAUAAUUAGAAUAAUUAAAACUUCUAGUAAUUUGAAAAUCAACAUUUUCAUGGUUAACCAAAGGUGAUGAUAUCUAUUACCUCUAUAGUAAACAAAGUGUCUUAUAAUGUAAAGUGCAAAAAUGAAGGACAGAAUGUGAACUUUUAACUUAUACAGCAGAGUGGUUCCUCUUACAUGAGUAACUCCAACAAGGAAACAAAAAUACUGGUACAGUGGCAACACUUGAUAAGAUAAAAGAUGUUAUUAUCAAGAUCUCUCUGUAGUACUCUUCCACUGUAAGAUGCAAAAUUAAAAGAAGACAAAUGAAGUUCUUUCUCUAAUAUUGUCAUCAUAUAGUGACAAUGUACUGAUCUGCCUUUUAGUUUUUCCCCCUUCAUUUCUCUGGAAUAGCCCUUCUCUGUAGAAUAACUGUCUCCUUUACAUACCUAUUAAUUCAUUGAUCCUAAAACUAUCUGAUACAGGGAUGAUAUGGCAGCAAAGCUCGUCACACUUUUUCUUUUCUGCUUGCUUCAUCUCUUCACAUUUGCAGCUAACAGGCUUGCUCUGUAUAAAAAGAAUAAACACAGUAAUUGGUUUGCCA